CGGCUGUUUGUUUUGUGGACUGAAAAUUUUUUGUUUGAUAUGAAUUACAAGUGGGUCGUGCCACCUGUGUGGGGUUCAUAAUGUGUAGCAUUUAAACUUUGGGUGUCUUCAAUCUACCAUGGGUAAUUUGUAAUAUUUUCUAGACAUUUUAAAUGUAAGCCUGUUUUCAUGGAGAUGAAGGAUGAUAAGAUAGAAAGUAUUUCAUGGUCAGGUGUAUACAAAUGUUUUAUUAGGGUGUGUUUGGUAGUUUGGCAUUUGGUGUAUUUGAAGGGAUUUCAGUUUGAAGGUGCAUUUGGCAGUUGGAAUUUGGUGUAUUUGGAUUUUAAUAUAAUAUAAACCCCCAUUUUGGAGGGUUUUGAAAAUGCAGUCUUGAGGUGAGUCUCUUUUUGCAAUGUGCUCUAUUCCAAUCCUGGACUGCCAUUGCCUUCUGCAACUCCUUUCUGCAAGUGUCAAAUGUGUUAUUGAUUCUAACAGCAUUAGCAUUAGCCUAAUGAUGGCAUUAGCAUUAGUGUCGCUUUCUAUUUUUGUGGUGGAAUUGAUUAUGCCAAAAGCUUGACAGGUGUGCAUGUGUUGAUCUCCUAUUUUACCUAUGUGAAUUUUAGGUGCAUUCCUUUCAUAAUUAAUCUCAUGUUGUUGUGAAUGCAGAUGGGGAUUCUGAUUCAAACUUCAUCAAAAUCAAGCCCAUGGAGAAAGGUAAAUUUUGGACCUGUACUUAUAUGUUCUUACCCUGACAAUUUUGGGCUUAUAGUUCUUAUGAUCAAUGCUAGUUUUACAUGGGGCAGUUUUAUUGUUGUUUUAUAUGCUGAACUAUGUUCAGCCUGCAUGAACUCUCCACAUGCACCCAUGCACAGUUGUGGGACACCACGCUACAAAUCAAAGAUCUAUUUGAUUGUUAUUGUACUUUUCUCUUGAUGUAUCUACCUACGAACUGAAAUUUCAACACUGAUGUGUUGCUCGUGAUGGGAAUUGGAAGAGUUUGCAUGGACCCUACAUGAAUUCUGCUAGCCAUAGUUCCUUGCAAGCUUGCUGGUGAUACUGUGACUUGGAGCUGAAGUUAAAGCUCUUCAAUUCAAAGAUUAGUCCCGAUGAAAUCUGAAACCAUGUAGCUUUUCAACGUUUCUAUUUAUUUACUUUUUUCUUUAGCUUUGAGUGCUUCAAAGGGAGUAAGUUUUAUAAGGUAAGACAAUCAGGAUCGAAUUCUGAAUCACUUAUACACAUGACACUAUCUCUAUCAGCUCUAAUAAAUAGCCAAAGAUGGCUUUUUAAGCUUUUAAACUA